rnacentral:rRNA from 1 species
AUUGAACGCUGGCGGUAGGCCUAACACAUGCAAGUCGAACGCGAAAGUCCUUCGGAUGAGUAGAGUGGCGGACGGGUGAGUAACGCGUAGGAAUCUAUCCUGUAGUGGGGGAGUAACGUUUCGAAAGGAACGCUAAUACCGCAUACGCCCCAACGGGGGAAAGCGGGGGAGUCUUCGGACCUCGUGCUAUAGGAGGAGCCUGCGUCGGAUUAGCUAGUUGGUGAGGUAAAGGCUCACCAAGGCGACGAUCCGUAGCUGGUCUGAGAGGAUGAUCAGCCACACCGGAACUGAGACACGGUCCGGACUCCUACGGGAGGCAGCAGUGGGGAAUAUUGCGCAAUGGGCGAAAGCCUGACGCAGCCAUACCGCGUGUGUGAAGAAGGCCUUCGGGUUGUAAAGGUACACUUUCUACGUGGGGUAGGGAAAGGAAC